rnacentral:rRNA from 1 species
GACGAACGCUGGCGGCGUGCUUAACACAUGCAAGUCGAACGGAAAGGCCCUGCUUUUGUGGGGUGCUCGAGUGGCGAACGGGUGAGUAACACGUGAGUAACCUGCCCUUGACUUUGGGAUAACUUCAGGAAACUGGGGCUAAUACCGGAUAGGAGCUCCUGCUGCAUGGUGGGGGUUGGAAAGUUUCGGCGGUUGGGGAUGGACUCGCGGCUUAUCAGCUUGUUGGUGGGGUAGUGGCUUACCAAGGCUUUGACGGGUAGCCGGCCUGAGAGGGUGACCGGCCACAUUAGGACUGAGAUACGGCCCAGACUCCUACGGGAGGCAGCGGUGGGGAAUAUUGCACAAUAGGCGGAAGGCUGAUGCAGCAACGCCGCGUGCGGGAUGACGGCCUUCGGGUUGUAAACCGCUUUCGCCUGUGACGAAGCGUGAGUGACGGUAAUGGGUAAAGAAGCACCGGCUAACUACGUG